rnacentral:lncRNA from 1 species
UUUGAUGUUAUGGAUCUAUGAUAUUACAUCAUGGAUCACUAGAUAACCUCUUAUAACACUUAAAUAAACACAUAAUCUAUGUUAGCAUACAAGAUUAAACUUUGGUUAAGGUUUAUACCUCUCUUGAACAAACUUUAAAUCCUUGCUUCUUAAUCUGUUCUUGAUGUGUUAGGGACUUAGUUAGGAAAUGAAAUAUUUAUCAAUUUCGUGGCUUUAGAGAGAGAAGGACUUGGUUGAGUGUUUGAGUACAAAUGAGUUUGGUUUUUGAUGUUUCUAUCUCUUUAAUCUAUGUAAUCUUUAAUGCAAUUAAUCUAUAAGUUGAUAGGUGUCAUAUAAGAUCAUAUUGGCAUUAGAUUUCCAGCACAUGGGAUAUCUAAUGUGAU